AUUAAUUAAAAAUUUAUUUUUUAUCAUAUUUUUAUCAUAUAAUUGUAUUACAACAUGACAUCCACCCUCUCUAAACUUAAAUAUUCUUUGAUAUGUGCCAAAUAAACCAUGUAUUAUAAUUGGCGUUAUACCAUCUCUUUAUUUUCUAUAUUAAUUCCUUCAUUAUUAUUUUUAUUAUCUAUUUUAGGAUAAUUAUCUUCUUCAAAAA
rnacentral:lncRNA from 1 species